rnacentral:lncRNA from 1 species
ACUGUUCCACCCAUCAUCAGCCAUGAUUUAUUCCCAAACCAAAGUACCUCUCAUCCUGGGGCUAAGGAAGGAAAAAGACUUACCUCGUUCAUCUAGAAGAAUAUUCUCCAUCUGAAAGAUCACAGAAUGGACUUAGAGGAAACCGAAGAAAUCCCAAGCCACACCAAACAGGACCUCAAGACUCUCCCAUUUUUCUAUCAUCAGGGGCAUGUUUGGUACCUCUGGCGAUUUGCGAAAUGACCUUCUGACCCCAGAACUCCGAGUCAAACCCUGUGCCACACCCUUCCCAGGGCCCAGUGGUACUGCAUCAUCUGUUGCAAUCAGCUGCCGAGGCUUCACCACUGGUAUUCCUAUGAAAAAGCAAGUGUACCAGCUGUCAUCCAUCCUCGUUCUGAAGUCUCAGCUGUCUUUGGGGUUGCUACCCUAUUCUUCUGGGGCUCCACCAUAAAAGUUCUCACCAGUAGUCACCAGUUUGGACUUAUCCUCUUCAUCACCAACUUCAUCAUCUUCCACACUUCGGCCAGGAAAGAAAAAGCCCAUCAUUCUGUGGAAGAACUGGUGUGUCAGCUGGAUGGUGAGAGGCACCACAUUUACCUAAAAAGGAAAAAGAUUCAAGAAGCAAUUAAGCUCAGAUACCAUCAUCAGUUUACCUACUCCUAAUAUCGUGUAACACACAGGUGGCUUUUGAAUGUCCCUUGUUCCCAGGUCCCUAAGGGACUGCUUACUAACCUCAAAAUGCUCCUUAACAGAGAUACCCCCAACAGGGGGCCGAACUUUGCUGAAGAGGCGGAGAGCUAGCUGUCGCCCAGACUGGCAGGAGCUCUGGGGCCGCAGUACUACCUGUAGGAUAGAGAGUAAAGAAGAGCCCAACCCAAUGUCCUUCCUGCCAUAAAGCAACCCACAAAUCCUCUGCAGAAUGAGAGGAGAAGCAAUGGUACUGCUAAGCUGGGCAAGCUUUCACCCUCUCAGAUCACCACAUUGUUUUCCAUAGUGGAUUUAUACUGAAGGGCCGUUAUAAAUGCCCCGUGCUAAAAACAUGCAAAUGGACUAGGAAAGGGGAAAAAAGACUUGCCUUAUAGACAGCAUUGGGGAGGAGGUUGUUCAUGGUAAACCAGCCCAACUCCAGAAGAUGUUCUGCUGUGUCAUCAGACUUAUUCACCUAUAAAGACAGAUUUUGCCCCAUCUACUAUAAUAAACCUUUCUCAGAAGUCUACUAG